rnacentral:rRNA from 1 species
CCUACGGGUGGCUGCAGUGGGGAAUUUUGGACAAUGGGGGCAACCCUGAUCCAGCCAUUCCGCGUGAGUGAAGAAGGCCUUCGGGUUGUAAAGCUCUUUCGGCAGGAACGAAACGGUCUUGGUUAAUACCUGAGGCUAAUGACGGUACCUGAAGAAGAAGCACCGGCUAACUACGUGCCAGCAGCCGCGGUAAUACGUAGGGUGCGAGCGUUAAUCGGAAUUACUGGGCGUAAAGCGAGCGCAGGCGGUUGAAAUCCCCGGGCUUAACCUGGGAACUGCGUUUGUGACUGUAAGACUCGAGUGUGGCAGAGGGGGGUGGAAUUCCACGUGUAGCAGUGAAAUGCGUAGAGAUGUGGAGGAACACCGAUGGCGAAGGCAGCCCCCUGGGUCAACACUGACGCUCAUGCACGAAAGCGUGGGUAGCAAACAGGAUUAGAUACCCGGGUAGUC